UACGUAGGUGGCAAGCGUUGUCCGGAAUUACUGGGCGUAAAGAGCGCGCAGGCGGCUGGUCAAGUCCGAUGUGAAAGCUCCCGGCUUAACUGGGAAAUUGCAUCGGAAACUGAUCGGCCUGAAGGUGGGAGAGGGUAGUGGAAUUCCCGGUGUAGUGGUGAAAUGCGUAGAUAUCGGGAGGAACACCAGUGGCGAAGGCGACUACCUGGCCCACUCUUGACGCUGAGGCGCGAAAGCUAGGGGAGCGAACGGG
rnacentral:rRNA from 1 species